AGAGUUUGAUCCUGGCUCAGGACGAACGCUGGCGGCGCGCCUAACACAUGCAAGUCGAACGAGAGAGAGGGAGCUUGCUUCCUCGAUCGAGUGGCGAACGGGUGAGUAACGCGUGAGGAACCUGCCUCAAAGAGGGGGACAACAGUUGGAAACGACUGCUAAUACCGCAUAAGCCCACGGCUCGGCAUCGAGCAGAGGGAAAAGGAGCAAUCCGCUUUGAGAUGGCCUCGCGUCCGAUUAGCUAGUUGGUGAGGUAACGGCCCACCAAGGCGACGAUCGGUAGCCGGACUGAGAGGUUGAACGGCCACAUUGGGACUGAGACACGGCCCAGACUCCUACGGGAGGCAGCAGUGGGGAAUAUUGCACAAUGGGGGAAACCCUGAUGCAGCGACGCCGCGUGGAGGAAGAAGGUCUUCGGAUUGUAAACUCCUGUUGUUGAGGAAGAUAAUGACGGUACUCAACAAGGAAGUGACGGCUAACUACGUGCCAGCAGCCGCGGUAAAACGUAGGUCACAAGCGUUGUCCGGAAUUACUGGGUGUAAAGGGAGCGCAGGCGGGCGAUCAAGUUGGAAGUGAAAUCCAUGGGCUCAACCCAUGAACUGCUUUCAAAACUGAUUGUCUUGAGUAGUGCAGAGGUAGGCGGAAUUCCCGGUGUAGCGGUGGAAUGCGUAGAUAUCGGGAGGAACACCAGUGGCGAAGGCGGCCUACUGGGCACCAACUGACGCUGAGGCUCGAAAGUGUGGGUAGCAAACAGGAUUAGAUACCCUGGUAGUCCACACCGUAAACGAUGAUUACUAGGUGUUGGAGGAUUGACCCCUUCAGUGCCGCAGUUAACACAAUAAGUAAUCCACCUGGGGAGUACGACCGCAAGGUUGAAACUCAAAGGAAUUGACGGGGGCCCGCACAAGCAGUGGAGUAUGUGGUUUAAUUCGAAGCAACGCGAAGAACCUUACCAGGUCUUGACAUCCCGAUGACCGCUUCUUAAUCGAAGCUUUUCUUCGGAACAUCGGAGACAGGUGGUGCAUGGUUGUCGUCAGCUCGUGUCGUGAGAUGUUGGGUUAAGUC
rnacentral:rRNA from 1 species